ACGGGAGGCAGCAGUGGGGAAUAUUGGGCAAUGGGCGAAAGCCUGACCCAGCGACGCCGCGUGAGGGAAGACGGUCUUCGGAUUGUAAACCUCUUUCCGCAGGGAAGAAGGCAGUGACGGUACCUGCAGAAGAAGUCACGGCUAACUACGUGCCAGCAGCCGCGGUAAUACGUAGGUGGCGAGCGUUAUCCGGAAUUACUGGGUGUAAAGGGUGUGUAGGCGGAGGAGCAAGUCAGGUGUGAAAAUUGUGGGCUCAACCCACAAACUGCACUUGAAACUGUUCCCCUUGAGAGUGGGAGAGGUAAACGGAAUUCCUGGUGUAGUAGUGAAAUGCGUAGAUAUCGGGAGGAACACCAGUGGCGAAGGCGGUUUACUGGACCACAACUGACGCUGAGGCACGAAAGCGUGGGGAGCAAACAGGAUUAGAUACCCUGGUA
rnacentral:rRNA from 1 species